rnacentral:snRNA from 1 species
AGCUUUGGGCAAUGGCAAUAUCGCAGCCAGUGAGGUUUAUCCAAGGUGUGAUUAUUGCUAAGAGAAUUACAAUAUUAGAAACCCACAGGGACAAUUCUACCCUGCCCCACAGGGU